AGAGUUUGAUCCUGGCUCAGGAUGAACGCUGGCGGCGCGCCUAACACAUGCAAGUCGAACGGCACCUAUCUUCGGAUAGAAGCGAGUGGCGAACGGCUGAGUAACACGUGGAGAACCUGCCCCCUCCCCCGGGAUAGCCGCCCGAAAGGACGGGUAAUACUGGAUACCCCCGGGCGCCGCAUGGCGCCCGGGCUAAAGCCCCGACGGGAGGGGAUGGCUCCGCGGCCCAUCAGGUAGACGGCGGGGUGACGGCCCACCGUGCCGACAACGGGUAGCCGGGUUGAGAGACCGACCGGCCAGAUUGGGACUGAGACACGGCCCAGACUCCUACGGGAGGCAGCAGUGGGGAAUCUCGCGCAAUGGGGGGAACCCUGACGCAGCGACGCCGCGUGCGGGACGGAGGCCUUCGGGUCGUAAACCGCUUUCAGCAGGGAAGAGUCAAGACUGUACCUGCAGAAGAAGCCCCGGCUAACUACGUGCCAGCAGCCGCGGUAAUACGUAGGGGGCGAGCGUUAUCCGGAUUCAUUGGGCGUAAAGCGCGCGUAGGCGGCCCGGCAGGCCGGGGGUCGAAGCGGGGGGCUCAACCCCCCGAAGCCCCCGGAACCUCCGCGGCUUGGGUCCGGUAGGGGGAGGGUGGAACACCCGGUGUAGCGGUGGAAUGCGCAGAUAUCGGGUGGAACGCCGGUGGCGAAGGCGGCCCUCUGGGCCGAGACCGACGCUGAGGCGCGAAAGCUGGGGGAGCGAACAGGAUUAGAUACCCUGGUAGUCCCAGCCGUAAACGAUGGACGCUAGGUGUGGGGGGACGAUCCCCCCGUGCCGCAGCCAACGCAUUAAGCGUCCCGCCUGGGGAGUACGGCCGCAAGGCUAAAACUCAAAGGAAUUGACGGGGGCCCGCACAAGCAGCGGAGCAUGUGGCUUAAUUCGAAGCAACGCGAAGAACCUUACCAGGGCUUGACAUAUGGGUGAAGCGGGGGAGACCCCGUGGCCGAGAGGAGCCCAUACAGGUGGUGCAUGGCUGUCGUCAGCUCGUGUCGUGAGAUGUUGGGUUAAGUCCCGCAACGAGCGCAACCCCCGCCGCGUGUUGCCAUCGGGUGAUGCCGGGAACCCACGCGGGACCGCCGCCGUCAAGGCGGAGGAGGGCGGGGACGACGUCAAGUCAUCAUGCCCCUUAUGCCCUGGGCUGCACACGUGCUACAAUGGCCGGUACAGAGGGAUGCCACCCCGCGAGGGGGAGCGGAUCCCGGAAAGCCGGCCCCAGUUCGGAUUGGGGGCUGCAACCCGCCCCCAUGAAGUCGGAGUUGCUAGUAAUCGCGGAUCAGCAUGCCGCGGUGAAUGCGUUCCCGGGCCUUGUACUCACCGCCCGUCA
rnacentral:rRNA from 1 species